GAGAUGAGGAUGAAGCAGUAAUUUAACAUUCCAACACUUGGACUGAGAAAUCAGUAUUUCGAGUGAUGUACUCAACUUUAUGCUUCUGAAUCACA